UACAUAUGUACGAGUGUGUAUCUACAAGUGAUAAGAUAUCUUGUGUGCAUAGUGAUUGCCAAAAAUAUAAUUUUGUGCAAAGGAAAUCAUUCGAAGCAGAUAUGCCACCGACCAAAAAAACUGAUCUAGACAAGAUAGCAUGGGCAUGGAUAGAAAGCGUUAGUCCAGAACAGAUUGAAAAAAUACAUUUAGAAAAUGCAUAUAGAAUUGGAUUAAAGAAUUGUAAAAAUUGCAAACGUAAUUGUGCCAAUAAUCCUCAAUGUCUAACAGGUUUAGGAGAAGACAAGUAUAUGAAGUCCCAACCAGCUGAGAUAGUAUCUCUAGAAAGUUCCCUAUCCGAGCUACGUGAUCCAACUCAAUACGUCGGUUUAAAGAAUCUUGGUGCUACGUGUUAUGUCAAUAGUUUAAUUCAAAUGUGGUUUCACAACGAAGAUAUGAGGAGAAUAAUAUACAAAUGGGAUAUUACGGAAGAUCCAGAGGAGAAGGAGACAUUGUACCAGAGUAAGAAGAUGGGACUACCCUACCAUCCAGCAACUGCAGUCGGCCAAUUGCAAUAUAUUUUUGCAAUGAUGCAAUUCGGAAAUCGGAGUCUUCUUGAUCCAAUGAAUCUCGCUGUCGCGUUGUCCCUGGAUACCAGAACACAGCAGGACGCUCAGGAAUUCUCCAAGCUGCUACUGUGCCAUAUUGAAGGAAAGCUACAGCAAAACUCAGAACUGAAGCGGAUGCUGCAGAGGCUGACCCAGGGAAAAUACAGCUAUAUCAAUUGUUGUUCGACGUGCGGCACCGAAUAUCCAACAUCCACCACAUUCUACGAACUGGAUUUACAACUGGCAGCAACAUUGAAGGAGGCGAUAGACAAGUAUUUAUCGGAAGAACAGCUGACGGGUGCGAAUCAAUAUCAUUGCGUCACUUGCAGCGACAAAAAGGAUGCCAGACGAUUCAUACGAUUGGAAUCUCUCCCAGAAACGUUGAACAUUCAACUAAUGCGUUUCGUUUUUCAUAGAGAUUCCGGACAAAAAAAGAAGUUAAAUUCGUACAUUCAGUUUCCCGAAGAUCUCGAUAUGUCGGAAUACGUUAGAUGCCAACCUCAAACUCAUUUAUAUAAUCUCGUCGCAGUAUUGAGUCACAAAGGUCCAUCUGCUCAUUCUGGACAUUACAUUGCAAAUAUAUGUAAUUCAAGUGGGGAGUGGUACCAGUUUAGUGAUGAUAAAGUGGAAAAAAUGCAGAAUAAACGAAUUGAGGAUGGUGUAAAUGAUAAUGUGAAACCAAUAAAACGAGGACGCGUUCCAAAAGGGUUUCUUUCAUCGAAUACAGCUUAUAUGUUGGUUUAUAAAAAGUUAACUACCGAUUGUCAAAUAAAUGCUAUGAAGAAAAUGAAAUUGAAAAAAUCUGAUGCCGAGUCGAAUGCCUCCGAUGAAUCUGUUUACUUAGAAAGACUUACAGUUAAAGAUAAAUCAGAUAUGUUGGAUGAAAUAAAACAGAAAGACAACAUUGAAAAUGUACGAUUAUCUCAAGAAGAAAACUCUGAAAAGAUAUUAAACUUAGAAUCAGAAAAUAAAAUGGAAAUCGAUAAGACUGUGGUAUCUCAAAAGACUGAUAUGCUUAUUACGGAUAAAAUUGAAACUGUAGAAACUGUUAUUAAUGCGAAUGGAUGUAAAGACAAACUUAAUUCUACCUCGCAACAAAUGCAGAAUAAGAUUGAAUGCUUAAAACAGCCAGUGAUAAAAGUUGUUAAACUUGAUUAUAAACGCCUGAAUGGUGCUGCACACAGAGCUAUGAGUUGUGGAGAACGAGAUUUUUAUGAAGAAAUCGAAUUUGAGAAUUGGCAAGUGAGUAACACAAUGCGUGAACUUGUCAGGCAAGAAAAUGUUAAGCAUGAAUUGAGUUUGUUGGCAGCGCAACAAGAGAAGCAAAAAGAAAUUGAAGAUCAAAAUUUCAAACGGCAACUCGUGAUAGAUAUAUAUAAUAUAAUUCAAUCAACGACAUGCUGGGACGAAUAUUAUUGGAUACCAACUGAUUGGCUGUCAAAAUGGUUAAAUGGACAUUCCAUUACAGAUAGUGUUCCUCCGAUCGAUAAUUCCACUUUAAUGUGCUCGCAUUAUCGACUCGAUCCAUUGAAAGUUAGUCGUGCGAAAUGCAUACCGGCAAUAGCUGCUGAAAUACUUUAUGAUAAAUAUCGAGGAGGGCCGCGAUUAGAUCAAACAUCUUUAUGCGAAAUUUGCGUAAAAAGACGAUGCAAAUUAUUGCGUUUCAAACUAACACUCGAACGAGAUUAUAAAGAAGUCAGCGAGCUAGUUCGCACAUUUAAAGAACCUUCUGAAACAAGCUAUAUAAUUGGUACCAAUUCAUUACGAUGGUGGCGAAAAUUAGCUAUAGAAACAUUUCAAGAAGACAUGGAACAAGAAAUGGAUGAUUGUCAGGAUGUUCCACAGGAAGAGAGUAAAAAUGUAGAUAAAGAUGGCAAUGAUUGUCCAAAAGAAGUUGAGGAAAACGUUGAAGAAAAUGAAAUUAUUAUAAACUUCAAUGAAGAUCUACUCUGCGAACAUAAUUCUCUUAAAACAGCAGAUUCCAGUAGAAGAGUGAUACCUCAAGAGGCUUGGUUGAUUCUUCGAAAAUAUUUUCCAGACUCGAAAGAAUACCCUAUUGGAUCGUCAUCUUGUGCAAUCUGUGAGGAGAGAAUGGAAAAUGCACAAAAAGCGAAGAAAGAUGACAAGAUAAAGGCGAAGCAGCAAAAGGAUGAACUUACCGACUUGUAUUAUGGAAAGAAUAGAAAUGAAAUUUUGAAGUGCGACGAUCCAAACAGAUUAUUUUAUAUUGUGGAAAAAGGCUUUCUGGAUAGUUGGCGUUCCUUCAUUCGGAAAUUCUACGGAUGUGUAUUCGUGCAGUGUGAUUAAGAUGGCACUAGUUGUCUCGAACAUCUCGCACAUCGACGCACAAUUUUAAUUUUCUCCCAUUUCCCGCCAUUCUCUCUUGUUCUUCGUCAGUCCUGGCUAAAGAAAGGAAAUAAUAUACAGUAACAAUUAUCUCGACACAUUUAGAAUAGCAUCAGUGAAUAAAGCACAUGAUUAAAUCUACUUUUGGCGUAAAGUUAAUAUCAGAUUUUUACUUUAAUCGAUACGAUAACGAAAGGCAAAUUCUCGUUCUUGAGCUCGUCAACCUCGAUGAUCAAAAUUGGUCGUCGUAAAUGCGAAAAGGGAGGAUGAACGGGAGGAGGAUAUCCAGGAUGUAUUAACGAGCUUUUCCUAAUUAUGAGAAAAAACUGGACCGCGCGAUUAAGCUGGGUUCCCUCCUCUUGCUCGUGUGGGUGCGGAGGAAGACCUGUACGGGAAAACUAAUUGAAACCGCUUAACGACCCGCCGGCAAAUGAUACAUCGACCCCGACGAAGGGCCACCGGUGUCUUAAUAUCGUUUCGCCUUCUUCCACGGUCAAGACAGUAAAUGCAAUUUGGACUCUCGCUCGAUCUUCUUCGAGUUUCUACUUUUCUGGUAUCUAUCCCCCCCCCCCCC
rnacentral:misc_RNA from 1 species